rnacentral:rRNA from 1 species
UACGUAGGUGGCAAGCGAUACUCGGAAUCACUAGGCGUAAAGCGCAGGUAGGCGGUUUGAUAAGUCUGUUGUGAAAGCUCCCGGCUCAACUGGGAGAGGCCAACGGAAACUGUCAGGCUAGAGUGUGGUAGAGGAAGAUGGAAUUCCCGGUGUAGCGGUGAAAUGCGUAGAUAUCGGGAGGAAUACCUAUGGCGAAAAGCAGUCUCUGGACCAUCACUGACGCUGAUCUGCGAAAGCUAGGGGAGCAAACAGG